AAUAAAUUACAAUCACAAAUAAAACAUGAAGAAACAAGAACAUUUUAUUAAUAACGAAUAUGGGUACAAUUUUGUUCCUCCCUUGAUUGAUCUCUCAUGAUUUUCUCCAUAAUUCAAGGGUCGUAACGUAUUUCUCAAACAUAGGAAUAUGGAUCUUCAUAAUUUGAGGGUCGUAGCGUAUUUCUCGAAUAUAGGAAUAUGGAUCUUUUUGAUGUAUUUGAUUAUCAAGAAAGAGGAUUUUGAUCUAUGAAUAUCCCGAAUUUCUGAGAUAUUCAAGAUGCUUCUUUAAGAUAAUAUUUGUCUCUUUAUAUAGGCAUAGUUCAGGAUUUAGGGUAAAUUAGACUCUAAGAUCUCUAACAGCAUUUAGAUUCUUUUUGUAGAGUGCCACAAAUUUUAGAUGUCUACAAAUGCCCCCUACUUCAAGGCUUGUCGAAGUGUACUUGAUGACGAGUCUUGAAGUACCCAUAGAGCUUCCAUCUUGAUGCAGCUGCAGAUUUGAUGCGGCUACAAAUUUACACAUAUGAUUUAUGAUUUCCUCCCUUGAUUGAUCUCUCGUGAUUUUCUCCAUAAUUUGAGGGCCGUAGCGUAUUUCUCGAACAUAGGAAUAUGAAUCUUCAUAAUCCGAGGGGAUCUUCUUGAUGUAUUUGAUUAUCAAGAAAGAAGAUUUUGAUCUAUGAAUAUCCCGAAUUUCUGAG
rnacentral:lncRNA from 1 species